rnacentral:rRNA from 1 species
CCUACGGGUGGCAGCAGUGGGGGAUAUUGCACAAUGGGGGGAACCCUGAUGCAGCGACGCCGCGUGGGUGAAGAAGCGCCUCGGCGCGUACAGCCCUGUCAGCAGGGAAGAAACUGACGGUACCUGAAGAAGAAGCCCCGUCUAACUACGGGCCAGCAGCCGGGGUUAUACGGAGGGGGCAAGCGUUAUCCGGAUUUACUGGGUGUAAAGGGGGUGCAGUCGGGGAAGGAAGCCCGGAGUGAAAGCCCGGGGUCCAACCCCGGGACUGCUGUUGGAACUGCGUGGCUGGAGUGCAGGAUGGGUAGGCGGAAUGCGUGGUGUAGCGGUGAAAUGCGUAGAUAUCAGGAGGAACACCGGUGGCGAAGGCGGCCUGCUGGACUGCAACUGACGUUGAGGCCCGAAAGCGUGGGGAGCAAACAGGAUUAGAUACCCCGGUAGUC